rnacentral:misc_RNA from 1 species
CCCUUGUAGCGUGUCAACCUUUCUUCUUGUGACAUGCCAGAAUGGAUGCAAAUCGAGGGAAAAUUGCACUCCAAAAGUAACUUGUUAAGCUCAGCUGCUCUGUUCACACUUUUGACAAAGAUAACAACUUGAUUAAAGUCCAGUGCAUCAAGAAGAUCAUUCAACUUCCGGUUCUUCUCCAGCUCAGUCAAUUUGAUGUAGUG